AACAAGGAUUCCCCUAGUAACUGCGAGUGAAGCGGGAAGAGCUCAAAUUUUGAAUCUGGCGGUCCUCGUGGUCGUCCGAGUUGUAAUCUAGAGAAGCGUUUUCCGCGCUGGACCGUGUACAAGUCUCCUGGAACGGAGCGUCAUAGAGGGUGAGAAUCCCGUCUCUGACACGGACUACCAGGGCUUUUGUGAUGCGCUCUCGACGAGUCGAGUUGUUUGGGAAUGCAGCUCAAAUUGGGUGGUAAAUUCCAUCUAAAGCUAAAUACAGGCGAGAGACCGAUAGCGAACAAGUACCGUGAGGGAAAGAUGAAAAGAACUUUGGAAAGAGAGUUAAACAGUACGUGAAAUUGCUGAAAGGGAAACGCUUGAAGUCAGUCGCGUUGGCCGGGGAUCAGCCUUGCAAUCUUGUUGGGUGCAUUUCCUGGUUGACGGGUCAGCAUCAAUUUUGACCGUCGGAGAAGGGUCGAGGGAAUGUGGCAUCCUUCGGGGUGUGUUAUAGCCUUUGAUCGUAUGCGACGGUUGGGAUUGAGGAACUCAGCAUGACCCCUCGUGGGUUUGGGGCUUCGGCUCACAUCCAUGCUUAGGAUGCUGGCAUAAUGGCUUUAAGCGACCCGUCUUGAAACACGGACCAAGGAGUCUAACAUGCCCGCGAGUGUUUGGGUGUUUAAAACCCGAGCGCGUAAUGAAAGUGAAAGUUGAGACCUCUGUCGUGGAGGGCAUCGACGCCCGGACCAGAACUUCUGUGACGGCCCUGCGGUAGAGCGUGUAUGUUGGGACCCGAAAGAUGGUGAACUAUGCCUGAAUAGGGUGAAGCCAGAGGAAACUCUGGUGGAGGCUCGUAGCGAUUCUGACGUGCAAAUCGAUCGUCGAAUUUGGG
rnacentral:rRNA from 1 species